GACUGUGUCGGCCCAGCGGACUGUAAAUCCGUCGGCUCUGCCUACCCAGGUUCGAAUCCUGGCGCCGCCA
rnacentral:tRNA from 1 species